GCCCUGAUCGUCUAGUGGUUAGGACCCUACGGUGUGGCCGUAGUAAGCCAGGUUCGAAUCCUGUUCACGGCA
rfam:Culex pipiens quinquefasciatus supercont3.253 genomic scaffold, whole genome shotgun sequence.